UUUUUAUUGUUAUUAAUAAGUAAGUCUCCAUAGAAGAAGGAGAAGGUAAAGCGCAAGAGCUCGGUGUCAUGUUUAUCAAAACAAGCGCAAAAGCUGGCUUCAAUAUAAAGGCUCUCUUUCGAAAGAUUGCGGCUGCCUUGCCCGGGAUGGAAACCUUUCUCCUCCAUGUUGCUUAGAUUUAUGAGGAAAGUGAAAGUGAGGAUGAUGGUCUUGACAUGGGUGAUGAUGAUGAUGUUGAGGAACUUGAAAAUGAAUCAGAGGCUGUUAGGAAAGAACCAACCAUUGAGAAACCUGCUCCUGUUUCAGCACCACCCAAAGAUGCUGAAAGGCAACUGUCAAAGAAGGAGCUUAAGAAAAAGGAAAUGGCAGAGCUGGAUGCACUUCUACAUGAAAUGGCCAUU